rnacentral:lncRNA from 1 species
CCACGAUACAUGGAGGAGACUGUGUGAGCAGCAACCAGGGCCCAGCCUUCUCCCCUCUGAGCAGACCUAGCAAUGUCCACUCAGGAGAGUGACCUGGCUCACAGGCCUCACCUCACCCACUCACUCCCUUGUGCUGAAAGUGGGCUGGUCCUUUUCUGGUUGAGGCCCUCACAUCACAAAGAGGAAAUAUGACUCCAAUUGGAUGAAGCUGGACAAGGAUGAUGACAAUAGAAGCAGAACAUUAAGACUGAAAGCGCACAGGUGAUCUUGGAGCUGGUAGCAGUGAUGGUGUAAUUUUCCUGGUCCCUGGGUUGGGUGCACAACUUAUGAAGCCCUGGGUGAGAGGACUACCAAUCACAGCCAGCUGCAAGAUUCCAGACUGGGUCAGAAGGAGAAGCCUAUUGAAUGGAGGCCUUAGUGGGUAAAGUGGAAACACACAGAAGAUACAAAACUCAUCCCUGCUGAAAUUCCAGCCGAAUGCCCAUACCCCAGUGAGAAUCUCCAGUGAUCCCUGCUCCAAACUUCAUGCUCUCCAAAUCACAUAAUCCGUCAUGCCUGGGUGGAUUGUCUUCUCCUCCUUCUAAGAAAGGGACACAGGAUAAGUGGUCCUGAGGAGAGAAGGCUUCUACCUAUAAGAUCUACCAACCUCACUCUAUUCCCAGUGUCUUCCCAGAAAUCUACUUGUGCUCAAUAUCCCAGCAUGUAAAUGCAGCAUCCUUUCAGUAACGGACAUAGGCUGAUUUGUCUGCCCUUAUCCACCACCUGUCAUUGUGAUGCUGUCAGUUAUAGUCCCCUAAUCCACUGUCCUAAGAGAUGGCAAGGGUCCCAGAACAGGCCAAUCAUAAUCCCCCACACACCUGACAGCAAGCACUGGUCCAAAGAAAGAGUGUGUGACCCCAGGUGGGCUGCCCAGAGCUCUUCCCUGGCAUUGAUUCACAGACACUACAUAAAAUCAGGCUCUACUUCUGCUGGGGUGGCUGAAGUAGGAGGAUGGGAAUCUGGGGCUGUAAGCAAGGACCUGCCUGCAGAAAGAAACCAAACAAAGAAAAAAAGAUGAGAAAUGCAGAGACAUACAUAAAUCUUGUUGCCAAGGUGCUCUGAAUCCUUUAGUUCUUCCCUCAAUCUUGCAACCUGCUCCACCAUCCAUUCCCUCUUUUGCUGAAACUAGUUUAAUUUGGGUUUUAUAGCUUACAACAAAAAGAGUCAUGAUUAGUACACCCUCUGACUUUCCUUCCAACUGAGAUAGACACUUGAGGAAAUAUAGCCUUCCUUUAAUCAUUUCAAGAUAAAGGAGUUGGCAUAGAAGGAAGAAGAAUGUAUGAAACUGUAGAGUCUUACAUAAUUGCUGUAGAGUAUGGCUGGGCUGGCUGAGAGAAGCUGUGCUGAAUGAUAAAAUAAAUAGUAACUCCAACAACAAUAACAACUAAUGGUUCUGAGCACCCCUGGCCAUGUCAAUGACCAUGGCAAAAUUCAUUUUAAAUCCCCCUGGUUAUGAGAGCUGAUUGAUGAGACAUGGGCAAAGCUUUGACUAAACUGGAGUCAAAUAGCAAAGAAGAGUCAAGUGAAACAUCAGGGAGCAUUGCAAUACUAGGCUGCCAUUUUGGAGUAUAGCAAUGGACCAAAUAAAAGCAGAUGAGUUGGCCAAGAACUUCAAGAAGAGAAAAAUGAAGCAGGCACUUCCUUACAAAGAGACAGAGGGAAGAUAUGAAGGGUGUCCUGAUCCCCUCUUCCCAGGGUCCAGCUACAACCACCCUAUUUCUGUCCUGCAAUUGAGGCAGAUGAUAUUCUCCUGUAUCUGCUUAACAACACUCCUUUCUUAUUUUUAACACUCAAUUUCUUUUUUGACCAGGUAUAGCAGUGUAAAGAAAUUACUAUUCUAACAGUUGACACUUGAGAUUUGAUUUGAUUUGCUUGUUUUUUAGAAGAACCCAUCUUUAUCAAGAAAUAUACUUUCCUAGUUGCUUUGGGGUGGAGAAGAUGAGAUCCCAAACCUACCUUGUAAGGAGAACAAGAAAUAAAGAGAGAGGUAAACUUUGCUCCAGAAGAAAUGGUCCAGAAUAUUGAAGGUAGGCAAAGACAGGGGAGAAAGAGGACUAGAUCUGGUGGGAAACUGGAUUAAUCCGAAGCCUGUAGAUUAAGGGCACCAGUGAGAAGUUUCCUGUCGUGGAAUGGCCAAGAAGUUUUAAGACAGGGUGUCAAAUCUAC